AGUGAACGCUGGCGGCGUGCUUAACACAUGCAAGUCGAACGAGAACGGAUUAUAGCUUGCUAUAAUUGUCAGCUAAGUGGCGCACGGGUGAGUAAUGUAUAGGUAAUAUGCCUCUUACUAAGGGAUAACAAUUGGAAACGAUUGCUAAUACCUUAUAUUCCUUUUUAUCAAAAGAUAAAAAGGGAAAGAUUUAUUGGUAAGAGAUUAGCCUGUAUUGUAUCAGUUAGUUGGUGGGGUAAUGGCCUACCAAGACAAUGACGCAUAACUGGUUUGAGAGGAUGAUCAGUCACACUGGAACUGAGACAAGGUCCAGAAUACUACGGGAGGCAGCAGUGGGGCAUAUUGCACAAUGGACGAAAGUCUGAUGCAGCAACGCCGAGUGGAGGAUGACACAUUUCGGAGCGUAAACUCCUUUUAUAAGAAGAUAAUGACGGUAUUAUAUGAAUAAGCACCGGCUAACUCCGUGCCAGCAGCCGCAGUAAAAC
rnacentral:rRNA from 1 species